GACGAACGCUGGCGGCGUGCUUAACACAUGCAAGUCGAACGGAAAGGCCCUUCGGGGUACUCGAGUGGCGAACGGGUGAGUAACACGUGGGUGAUCUGCCCUGCACUUUGGGAUAAGCCUGGGAAACUGGGUCUAAUACCGAAUAGGACCGCGGCCUUCAUGGGUUGUGGUGGAAAGCUUUUGCGGUGUGGGAUGGGCCCGCGGCCUAUCAGCUUGUUGGUGGGGUAAUGGCCUACCAAGGCGACGACGGGUAGCCGGCCUGAGAGGGUGACCGGCCACACUGGGACUGAGAGACGGCCCAGACUCCUACGGGAGGCAGCAGUGGGGAAUAUUGCACAAUGGGCGCAAGCCUGAUGCAGCGACGCCGCGUGAGGGAUGACGGCCUUGGGUUGUAAACCUCUUUCAGCAGGGACGAAGCGCAAGUGACGGUACCUGUAGAAGAAGGACCGGCCAACUACGUGCCAGCCGCCGCGGUAAAAC
rnacentral:rRNA from 1 species